AAACAUGUCUUUUUGUGAUAUUUUUAAAGUCUAACCUGCCCACUGAAUAAAUUUAAAUGGCCGCAGUAUCCUAACUGUGCAAAGGUAGCAUAAUCAUUAGUCUUUUAAUUGAAGGCUGGUAUGAAUGGUUGGACGAGGUAUUAACUGUUUCAAAUAAAUUUUUAAUAGAAUUUUAUUUUUUAGUCAAAAAGCUAAAAUAUAUUUAAAAGACGAGAAGACCCUAUAAAUCUUUACUUUUUAAUUAUUUUAAUUAUAAAGAUAAAUUUUAUUAUAAUAAGUAAAAAAGUUUUAUUGGGGUGAUAUUAAAAUUUAAUAAACUUUUAAUUUUUUGAAACAUAAAUUAAUGAAUAAUUGAUCCAUUAAUAGUGAUUAAAAAUUUAAGUUACUUUAGGGAUAACAGCGUAAUUUUUUUGGAGAGUUCUUAUCGAUAAAAAAGAUUGCGACCUCGAUGUUGGAUUAAGAAAAAAUUUAGGUGCAGUCGCUUAAAUGUUAAGUCUGUUCGACUUUUAAUUUCUUACA
rnacentral:rRNA from 2 species